GGGUUCAUGGUGUAAAGGAUAGCACAGCGGCCUUCUAAGCCGUUAGUCUCGGGUUCGAUUCCCAGUGGGCCUGCCA
rnacentral:tRNA from 1 species